rnacentral:sRNA from 1 species
GGUUUCCGUUAGCAACCAGAGGCUUCUAAACAACCUACCCUCUUUCCCCAUUUUCUGUGGUCCAACUACCCUCGGCGAUCCCAGGCUUGGCGGGGCACCGCCUGGCCUCUCCCGUUCCUUUAGGCUGCCGCCGCCGCCUGCCGCCAUGGCAGAGUUGGGCCUAAAUGAGCACCAUCAAAAUGAAGUUAUUAAUUAUAUGCGUUUUGCUCGUUCAAAGAGAGGCUUGAGACUCAAAACUGUAGAUUCCUGCUUCCAAGACCUCAAGGAGAGCAGGCUGGUGGAGGAGACCUUCACCAUAGAUGAAGUCUCUGAAGUCCUCAAUGGAUUACAAGCUGUGGUUCAUAGUGAGGUGGAAUCUGAGCUCAUCAACACUGCCUAUACCAAUGUGUUACUUCUGCGACAGCUGUUUGCACAAGCUGAGAAGUGGUAUCUUAAGCUACAGACAGACAUCUCUGAACUUGAAAACCGAGAAUUAUUAGAACAAGUUGCAGAAUUUGAAAAAGCAGAGAUUACAUCUUCAAACAAAAAGCCCAUCUUAGAUGUCACAAAGCCAAAACUUGCUCCACUUAAUGAAGGUGGAACAGCAGAACUCCUAAACAAGGUAAUAUUAUUAUUUUGAGAAACGGAAAGUCUCUCAUUCUGUCCUGUCAUUGCCUAGGGUGGAGAAACAGAAGUGGAAGGUUUGGUUCAGUUCCUCUGAGGAUAAUUAGUCCAUUGCAGUAGUUUUACUUGAUGGUACCCCAUGGGCCAGAAGAGGGCAUACUUAACCUUCUAGAGAGCCUGAAGUAGCUCCUGAUCACACCUUUUCAAGGUAAAGUGAAGA